CGUUUGGCAUAGCUUAGAGCACUCAGAUGAUAAGUCGUUUCGGUCAGUUGCAGCGAAGACACUAUCAUUGGCGUUUUAACUGUGAACGGUAGCUCCUCGACUCGUCGCUUAGUACGGAUUGAAUAUAUGUACAUUGUACAACAAAAAGCAGUGUGGCAACAUCAUUGAUAUUCAAAAUUAAGGAAUUACAAUAGCCAACUCGCAGUAUAAAACCGUAAA